GGAGAGGUCGCCUAGUCUGGUCCAUGGCGGAGGUUUGCUAAACCUCUGAGGUCUAAAAAGCCUCGCGUGGGUUCGAAUCCCACCCUCUCCG
rnacentral:tRNA from 5 species